GCUGAGCCGUGGAGAUGGGGCUCCGGUCCCCCUCCCAAAGGUCACCGGCAGUCCCCUGAGGCGUGGGGGGCGCAGUUUAUGAGCGCGGCCCUCCCGCUGUUGGAUUAGCGACGGCGGCGGGUAUGGGACCCGAGCGCGCCCAGUGCGUAGCAGGAGCCCGUGACAUCUCCCCGCCGCGCCGGGCCAGUGGCGUCGUGGGCACCGAGCCCCGCCAGGCAACGUCCCACGGUCUGGCCCCCACGGCCGUCCCCACUCCGCCCGGCACGCAGGUGCACAGCAGUGUAGAUACGCUGCACCAGGAAUAAAAACUUCCUCAGCCACGGGACCGUUGCAGUAGGCAGCCAGACGGUCGCGCUUCCCGGAGUCUUCACAACUGCUUGGUAUGAAAGGUGGAUUCAGCUUGGACUCUGCCACACGGGGGACAAUGGUGCCUCUCAGCCGCGCCGACCCAAGCAACGAGGAUCGCCGCGAGGCUUUCCCGAAGUGAAUCACUUGGCAAAAUGCUGGCGCUCAGGCGCCGGCGGUUUUCUUCCCUUUGUCGCUCAGCGGUGGCCGUUUAUCCCACGUGAAACUAUGUUCCGUAUUUGCGGAGAGUGGCAGUCUGCUGUGGCACAUGGGAGGCAUUAAAAAUACACGACGCUUCUUAAAUUCCACACCUGGCAUGCUAACUGGAAUUUAAGUAGAAACUUGGAAAAAAUUAAAAAAGAAAUUAUAUAUGAAUAUCAAAACACA